rnacentral:rRNA from 1 species
UACGUAGGGUGCGAGCGUUGUCCGGAAUUAUUGGGCGUAAAGGGCUCGUAGGCGGUUUGUCGCGUCGGGAGUGAAAACUCAGGGCUUAACCCUGAGCCUGCUUCCGAUACGGGCAGACUAGAGGUAUGCAGGGGAGAACGGAAUUCCUGGUGUAGCGGUGAAAUGCGCAGAUAUCAGGAAGAACACCGGUGGCGAAGGCGGCUCUCUGGGCCUUACCUGACGCUGAGGAGCGAAAGCGUGGGUAGCGAACAGG